UACGUAGGGCGCAAGCGUUAUCCGGAAUUAUUGGGCGUAAAGAGCUCGUAGGCGGUUUGUCGCGUCUGCCGUGAAAGUCCGGGGCUCAACUCCGGAUCUGCGGUGGGUACGGGCAGACUAGAGUGAUGUAGGGGAGACUGGAAUUCCUGGUGUAGCGGUGAAAUGCGCAGAUAUCAGGAGGAACACCGAUGGCGAAGGCGGUCUCUGGGCAUUAACUGACGCUGAGGAGCGAAAGCAUGGGGAACGAACAGG
rnacentral:rRNA from 1 species